CAACUACUCCCUCUGUCUCAAAUUUCUUGUCUUAGAUUUGUCUAGAUACGGAUGUAUCUAAUACUAAAAUGUGACUUGAUACAUCCGUAUCUAGACAAAUCUAAGACAAGAAUUUUGGGACGGAGGGAGUAAUUU
rnacentral:pre_miRNA from 1 species